UUACGACCGAAUCAGCUUGAAACACCGGUUUCCGUAUGAUCACUGAAGUUAAGAAACGUCGAGCCUGGUCAGUACUUAGACGGGUGACCGCUUAGAAAUAGCAGGUGCUGUAAGC